rnacentral:tRNA from 1 species
AUUUAAAUAGUUUAAUUAAAAUAUUAAUUUGUGGGAUUAAAGAUUAUUAUAUAAUAUUUAGAU